rnacentral:rRNA from 1 species
UUGUUGGUGAGGUAAAGGCUUACCAAGGCUUCGAUCAGUAGCUGGUCUGAGAGGACGGCCAGCCACACUGGGACUGAGACGCGGCCCAGACUCCUACGGGAGGCAGCAGUGGGGAAUUUUGGACAAUGGGGGCAACCCUGAUCCAGCCAUGCCGCGUGAGUGAAGAAGGCCUUCGGGUUGUAAAGCUCUUUCAGCCGGAACGAAACGGUUACGGUUAAUACCCGUGACUACUGACGGUACCGGAAGAAGAAGCACCGGCUAACUACGUGCCAGCAGCCGCGGUAAUACGUAGGGUGCAAGCGUUAAUCGGAAUUACUGGGCGUAAAGCGUGCGCAGGUGGUUUUGUAAGUCAGAUGUGAAAUCCCCGGGCUUAACCUGGGAACUGCGUUUGAAACUACAAGGCUAGAGUGUGGCAGAGGGGGGUGGAAUUCCGCGUGUAGCAGUGAAAUGCGUAGAUAUGUGGAGGAACACCGAUGGCGAAGGCAGCCCCCUGGGUCAACACUGACGCUCAGGCACGAAAGCAUGGGGAGCAAACAGGAUUAGAUACCCUGGUAGUCCAUGCCCUAAACGAUGUCAACUAGUUGUCGGGCCUUAACGGGCUUGGUAACGUAGCUAACGCGUGAAGUUGACCGCCUGGGGAGUACGAUCGCAAGAUUAAAACUCAAAGGAAUUGACGGGGACCCGCACAAGCGGUGGAUUAUGUGGAUUAAUUCGAUGCAACGCGAAAAACCUUACCUACCCUUGACAUGUAUCGAAGCCCGCAGAGAAGCGGGUGUGCCCGAAAGGGAACGAUAACACAGGUGCUGCAUGGCUGUCGUCAGCUCGUGUCGUGAGAUGUUGGGUUAAGUCCCGCAACGAGCGCAACCCUUGUCAUUAAUUGCCAUCAUUUAGUUGGGCACUUUAAUGAGACUGCCGG